CGGAUCAGGAUGUUGCUGCCCACUACUUCUCCAGCACCAUGCCUGCCAUGCCUGAUAGAUACCAUGUUUCCUGCCACGUCGAUAAUGGACUAAACCUCUAAAACUACAGUAUCCUUUUGGUGAAAACUACAUGGGAAAAAACUGGAUCCUCAACACAACAACCAGUUCCACCUUCCCAGACACAUUGCUGCCAGGGCUUCACAUGACUGCUGUCCCAGCAACGUAACUGUUCCUUCCAGGGACAUCCUGAGCCACCUGGCUGCUGAUCCAACAUAAGAUGAUCGAGAAGGAAACAAAGGUACCAAUUUGUACUUGUAGGGACAUAAGGAUGCUCAUGGUGUGAAGAUACAGGCUUUUCAUUUGUCAUCAGAAGGAAGCAUAGAAUAAUUGCUACAGGGACUGAUGGAACAUAUGCAUGACACUACAAAUAAA